ACCGCCUUCUGUUAUUAGAAAGCGUUUUUUUCUUUGGCGCCCAUGAGUGUGUCAGAAUUAACUGGUCAGGCUGCUCCAUCCCUUUUUCUUUUUCGUGCACGUUUUCCCAUGUUUGUAUUCCGAAGAAUACGUGACAGAUUUACUCUCACUUGUUCAGCAAUAACGCAACAAUGAAUCUUCGGAAUUCAACCCAUUAUUGAAAACCUAAAUUCCUAAGUUAUUUCACGUUGAUAAUUACAACUCAUUAUUUCCUUAUUUCCAAUUAAUUUUCAACUCAUCAGUCAUCGAUAUUCGACCAAGUUAUACAUAAAAAUUACAUUGUUUCGAGUGAUAAUUUUUUCUUCACAAUCUCAAAUAUCGAGGUAGUUUUAUUGGAUAUAAUUAGAGAAGAGUUUCGAAAAAUUGGAUACGAAACGUCAUCGUAUCCCCGUUGCUCGUCCCCUCUCGUCGCAGUCUCUCCGUUACGAAUAUUCCGGGUGCACUUGUUCACAAUUUCACAACGACAAGUUCCUCGUCCUUCAGCAUUUAAUCAAUGAAAUACCAGAGAAAACGGUGUGCAUGUGUAACAUACUGGCGCAGCUCGUGGAGCUAAAACAGUACGAAGAAAAUAUACGUGCGUUGUCUCCGCGCUUCAUUUUGGCUGCAGCGAAACGUGUUGCUAUUAUUCUAUUUUCUCAACGUGAACGACACGAGACGUUGCUCUCAUAGCAUCCGUUUUGCACUAUAAGGCGCUUGCCAGUUAGUGGCAGAUUGUAUGGUUGUACGCAGCGAGUUCUGAACAUCAAAUGUUCUUCAGCUCGAAGCAGAUGCUUCUCGAGUUAAUUACGUGUCUGGAAUAUCGAAGAUUCGGAGUCUUCGAAAAGUCAAACUGAAAAUGAUGAGGUUCAUUUGCUAGUUGUGAAAAAAGUAUGAGCUUUUAAAGUCCGACAUUCGAUCGCUGAGAGUGAAAAACAUUGUAAUAUGGAAAGUACGUAUGUUGCAGUCGAAAAUAUAUAUGUUUUCGAAUCUCUUACGGUGCAUAUUGAAAGCGAUGUAAUGGAUCGAUUAUUUACAGAACGUAUUUCACAUUAGCGAUCGUUCGCUUUCCAUUCAGCCUUCGAAUUCUAGCAACAUUUGCCAUUCAAUAAGCUUCAUUGGAUUUCUCUCUCAUUUCCGUUUCUAUACGUAUAGACGCGUCAUCAGUUAUGACAGUAUAUAGUCGAUGCUGAGUCCAUCAUCCUAUCAUUCUUGAAUUCGUAGCUCACGAUCAAUACAUUCAGUGUGAAAAUACAAGGCAACGGAGUCGCAGCUUUCACGUAAUCAUAUGACGAAAUGUCGCUUGUUCGUUACUCAACUUACGCGUUUCAUCGUCUCUGAAGCAGCAGUGAAUCACGAAUAUUGAAUUCACCUAUUAUCCCAUGGACCAUGUAAAAUAUUGAGAGCUCCGCAUUCGCCAUUCCCUCGGGCUAUAGAAAUGAACACACCCAACCAAAACGUUCAUGAGCCUGCUCGCUCAUGCAGUAUAUUGGAUAUUAACGUCAUUGUGACAGCUGCUAUUGAAGUAAAUGGACAUUCAUUAUAGGAUUUCAAGAGAUCCCGCCGAGCAUUCUAGUCUUUUCGUUGCUCGAGUACAUCGAAUUGAAAUUACACGGAGAAAACGAGGCCGAAAUAGUAAAAAGACCCACACCUUUUAUUCAAAUGACUCAAGGGUCUUUUUCUCUAUAAGCAUGUAUGUUUGGCAUGAUGAAUAACACUCG